CAAAGAUCAAUUCGGAACUCUGAGAAGUGUGAUGAGGUCAGGCUCAUCAUAAUGUCUGAGAGCACAGAACUGUGGGUUUUACCUCUCUCAUCCAUAUUUUUGCUUCUAGUGCUAACAGCCAGCAGAAUAGGCAACUUGCUGGGCCAGUGGCCUGAUCUUCUAUGUCAAC